UUGAGAUACUUUACAACCCAUCA
rnacentral:snRNA from 1 species